GACGAACGCUGGCGGCGUGCUUAACACAUGCAAGUCGAACGCUGAAGCUUGGUGCUUGCACUGGGUGGAUGAGUGCGAACGGGUUAGUAAUACGUGAGUAACCUGCCCUUGACUCUGGGAUAAGCCUGGGAAACUGGGUCUAAUACUGGAUAUUACAUGCCACUGCCUGGUGGUUUGUGGAAAGGGUUUUACUGGUUUUGGAUGGGCUCACGGCCUAUCAGCUUGUUGGUGGGGUAAUGGCCUACCAAGGCGACGACGGGUAGCCGGCCUGAGAGGGUGACCGGCCACACUGGGACUGAGACACGGCCCAGACUCCUACGGGAGGCAGCAGUGGGGAAUAUUGCACAAUGGGCGGAAGCCUGAUGCAGCGACGCCGCGUGAGGGAUGACGGCCUUCGGGUUGUAAACCUCUUUCAGCACGGAAGAAGCGAGAGUGACGGUACGUGCAGAAGAAGCGCCGGCUAACUACGUG
rnacentral:rRNA from 1 species